AGUCUUAUAGUCAUAGAAUGAUUUAAAAUUGCAAAUUUUAAGGUGUAUAAAAUAUUAAGGCUU
rnacentral:tRNA from 1 species